rnacentral:rRNA from 1 species
AUUGAACGCUGGCGGUAGGCCUAACACAUGCAAGUCGAACGCGAAAGUCCUUCGGGAUGAGUAGAGUGGCGGACGGGUGAGUAACGCGUAGGAAUCUAUCCUGUAGUGGGGGAUAACGUUUCGAAAGGAACGCUAAUACCGCAUACGCCCUACGGGGGAAAGCGGGGGAUCUUCGGACCUCGUGCUAGAGGAAGAGCCUGCGUCGGAUUAGCUAGUUGGUGAGGUAAAGGCUCACCAAGGCGACGAUCCGUAGCUGGUCUGAGAGGAUGAUCAGCCACACCGGAACUGAGACACGGUCCGGACUCCUACGGGAGGCAGCAGUGGGGAAUAUUGCGCAAUGGGCGAAAGCCUGACGCAGCCAUACCGCGUGUGUGAAGAAGGCCUUCGGGUUGUAAAGCACUUUCAGUGGGGAGGAAAAGCUGGCGGCUAAUAUCCGCCGGCCGUGACGCUACCCACAGAAGAAGCACCGGCUAAUUCCGUGCCAGCCGCCGCAGUAACAC